rnacentral:rRNA from 1 species
AGUGAACGCUGGCGGUAGGCCUAACACAUGCAAGUCGAACGGCAGCACAGUAAGAGCUUGCUCUUACGGGUGGCGAGUGGCGGACGGGUGAGGAAUACAUCGGAAUCUACUUUUUCGUGGGGGAUAACGCAGGGAAACUUACGCUAAUACCGCAUACGACCUACGGGUGAAAGCAGGGGAUCUUCGGACCUUGCGCGAUUGAAUGAGCCGAUGUCGGAUUAGCUAGUUGGCGGGGUAAAGGCCCACCAAGGCGAUGAUCCGUAGCUGGUCUGAGAGGAUGAUCAGCCACACUGGAACUGAGACACGGUCCAGACUCCUACGGGAGGCAGCAGUGGGGAAUAUUGGACAAUGGGCGCAAGCCUGAUCCAGCCAUACCGCGUGGGUGAAGAAGGCCUUCGGGUUGUAAAGCCCUUUUGUUGGGAAAGAAAAGCAGCAGGUUAAUACCCCGCUGUUCUGACGGUACCCAAAGAAUAAGCACCGGCUAACUUCGUG